CCGGGGAUCAACGGCGCCGCGCCGCCGGAGCCCCCCUUGGAGCGGCCUGCUUGGAGCGGGGGCUGUGCUGGGAGCCUCUGCCCGGGGCUGGGCCGGCGCCUGAGGAACCACCCGGGACUGAGCGCCCUCGCCUUCCUUUGGAUGCUGAUCACAAGUCGCUGGAUGAGGCCAGACUAAAGCUCCAGUCCAAAUGAAAAUGGAACAGCGGGACUCGACUUGCCUUAGAGGUGCCUUUUGGCUUUGAAACAUGCGAUGUUCUCCUUACUGAAGCUUAUCAAGUCAACGGCUUCAAGCUGCCAAUCUUCACGUGUGCCAAGGUUUGGUGCCUCAACCGUCAGAGCCAUCCGACAGCAGUCACCACGCAUGUCCUUGAGUUGGAGAAACUAUUUUGCUCGGAGAGUUCAAGGCAGACUGAUGAUUUCCCAGCAGCUCAAGUUCUUGCCUGACUGUCUCUUCCCUCUGUUUUCCUGCUUUUGCCUCCAAGUGGCUGAGGGGUUGGAUUUUGAUUUUCAACCCGAGUUUGGCAUGCAGUGAGAAAACAGAAAUGGAAGAAAACUGGCAGCUAGAAGUGAAGGGGUAAAAGAAAAGGAGACUGGGAUCGAUUCCCACACUCGGUGGGACCGUGCCUGUACUACUUAUAAUGUUCUUGUCUAUGAGCAGCGGAUCAGUCUGUCAAAAUACUGCUGCGCUACCACUCAGCUCUGCACUGUAGGAGUCAGAGGUCUCCUGCUGCCGGUGAUGACUUGGAAUUUCUGCUGCUCCUGAGAGACGGGUAAGU